UAGUGGCAGACGGGUGAGUAAUGUAUAGGAAUCUACCUAGUAGUACGGAAUAAUUGUUGGAAACGGCAACUAAUACCGUAUACGCCCUACGGGGGAAAAAUUUAUUGCUAUUAGAUGAGCCUAUAUUAGAUUAGCUAGUUGGUGGAGUAAUAGCCUACCAAGGCAAUGAUCUAUAGCUGAUCUGAGAGGAUGAUCAGCCACACUGGAACUGAGAUACGGUCCAGACUCCUACGGGAGGCAGCAGUGGGGAAUAUUGGACAAUGGGCGAAAGCCUGAUCCAGCCAUGCCGCAUGAGUGAAGAAGGCCUUUGGGUUGUAAAGCUCUUUUAGUGAGGAAGAUAAUGACGGUACUCACAGAAGAAGUCCUGGCUAACUCCGUGCCAGCAGCCGCGGUAAUACGGAGAGGGCUAGCGUUAUUCGGAAUUAUUGGGCGUAAAGGGCGCGUAGGCGGAUUAGUAAGUUAAAAGUGAAAUCCCAAGGCUCAACCUUGGAAU
rnacentral:rRNA from 2 species